UGCAGAACCGCUCAGUCGGUAGAGCAUGAGACUCUGAAUUUCAGGGUCAUGGUUUUGAGCCCCACCAUUGGGCAA